AGUCCACGACAGAAUUUCUGCAGUCAGCUCUAGGGAGGCCCACCUCCUGCCACACUGCUCUCCAGGCACAUGGAAGGGUUUCCCUCACCACCAGUUUACUCCUGGGGCCUAGCUCGGUCUCAGGCAGGAGAGUACUCAGGAAGACAGCCAUAUAUCACUCCACUCGAGGCUGCCUCUGGUCUGGAAAUUGUGGGUCUGCUUCACCGUGUGCUGUAAAGAGCUUAUCUUUCUGUUUAUUUGUUUCUCCAGAUCGAAACAGCAUUGGCAGAGGGACAGAGCCAGCACCGGGACUGACCAGGAGUUGUUCCUCCUUCGCCUCAUUUUAGAGUUGAUUUGGGGGUUAAAGUUUACGCUUUUUGAGAGAGGUAGUAAAACAUUAAUUAUGGGUAAAGUUCUUUCUCUCUUGCUCCAUAGAUUAACUGGCUGAUCCUGUUUGCUCUAUAAAGUGAACCAUAUUUGCUAAGGGUAAUUUGAAAUCGGCAGUGCAAAUGGCCCCCUGACUUCCUCCUGCUGUUGGGCACUGUGCUGAGUGUGCUCAAUGGCUCAGAUGCAAUGAUGGAUGCUUCCAGGAGAGGCAACAUGAGUCCUUGAAUCAUACAAAUUCAUAUUCCACAGCCUCAUGAAGUCAUCUCUGCUGAAUCAGCUUUCUCCCUGACGUGGAGGGUGUGGCCGCACAGCAUUUGACAGCAUGGAGAGAGCAAUCAGACUAAUUUAUUAUUAUGUUCUAACAAUAUAAAAAUCCAAACUACAUAAUUGAGGCAAAUAAUAAAUCUUUCUGGACCAUGAUUACCCAAUUUGACUGUUUACUUUAAUCAAAUCACAAAAUAAUGAUCGAAUUUGGAUUUGAUUAUGUGCCUAUAAAGAUAACCAAGAAGCAAAUGUAAGUAACUGUCAGUCAAAGUCUUCUCAGACAAUAGCUCGCAUUACAACACGCCAAUUACAUUUUUAUCAGGUAGUUAAGUUAAUUACCUGUGGUAAAUGUGUUAGUGGGACAAGUGUAGAUUGCUGUAAACAUUUGCUGACCACUUUAAAAUGCUGCUGGACCAUAUGGGAGGAUUCAAGGGUACAAUAGCAUGCAGAUGUAUUUACACCUGCUAAUGCCAUAUAAAAUCCAAUAAAGUGUUCAUGGUGAAA